AUAGAGCUGGCCAUGCCUCUGUCAAGUUAACUGGACAUUCUUUUUGCAGGGGCCGGGCCCAGUGGGCAGCCCAUAUGGGCCUUUCUCAUGCCAACAUUCAGGAGUUGGGUUUUUGGCGCAGUAAUGCCUAUUUGCGUUAUCUGGACCCCACAGUUUCACAGAGAUUCCAGUCUCUUCAUCUUUUCUCAUCGGGCCUUCCCUAAUGGGGUUGGGGGUCUCUCUUGUCACUGUGUAGUUUAUUAACCUGGACAGAUUCUUACUUAUGUAUGUUUGGGGGUUAAUAAACUUGACCCAGCUCGAA